CAACCUGCCCUUCAGAGGGGGACAACAGUUGGAAACGACUGCUAAUACCGCAUACGAUCCGACCUCGGCAUCGAGGAUGGAUGAAAGGUGGCCUCUAUUUAUAAGCUAUCACUGAAGGAGGGGAUUGCGUCUGAUUAGCUAGUUGGAGGGGUAACGGCCCACCAAGGCAAUGAUCAGUAGCCGGUCUGAGAGGAUGAACGGCCACAUUGGGACUGAGACACGGCCCAA
rnacentral:rRNA from 1 species